rnacentral:rRNA from 1 species
GACGUAGGGUGCAAGCGUUGUCCGGAAUUAUUGGGCGUAAAGAGCUCGUAGGCGGUCUGUCGCGUCGGCUGUGAAAACCCGGAGCUCAACUCCGGGCCUGCAGUCGAUACGGGCAAACUGGAGUGUUGCAGGGGAGACUGGAAUUCCUGGUGUAGCGGUGAAAUGCGCAGAUAUCAGGAGGAACACCGGUGGCGAAGGCGGGUCUCUGGGCAACAACUGACGCUGAGGAGCGAAAGCGUGGGGAGCGAACAGG